AUGAUUGCUCGCGCGAGGCUUGGCACAAAAGUGAUCUCGCGCGAACAGCCCUGCUGCGGUACUGAGGUAAACAGAAGAAAACUGCGGAUCCGCUUCGGACUUGGGUUUAAAGCGAUGGACGCGUUGGACAUGUUAUUACAGCAAACAGACUAUCACAAUUUUGAGAGAGAGGCUAAGUACCACUACCUCGCUAACUUUCCUCCAAGACAAGAGUCAGGAUACUACAGUGAGGUGAACAUCUUGGUUCUCAGGGAGGUUACUACCAAAUCUGUCUCUAUGAAGCUGCGGCGCAGGACAGUCCUGAGAAGCCGACGGCUUCGACAGCGAGAACAUGUGAAGGACUCUGAGAGCAUCUCUGUGGUGUUGAGGGACGCUGACUCUAGUCAGUCAGACAGUGUGGAAGAAAUAAAAGAUCAGGUGUCUGUUCUUCGUGAUAUGGAGCGGCCGGUAAGGAAGAGUAGAGCUGGUUCAUCUUGUCGCGUGAGAAAAGAAGGCGAGAGGCCGCUUUCUGAUGUGGAAGCACAACCUGGGACGGUUCAGAAGAUCUCCCUGGCUCCAGGUGCAAUGGCUGAGGACACUCUAGAGAAACUCAGGUUUAGGGCUAAUACCUCUAAGACCAAGAUCGAGAUUGAGUCUCGAGCAGAGCUUGAGUCUAUUUUGGACGAAUCCAGUACUGAUUUCACAGUGGAAUCGGGUCCCAGCUCACCCUGUCGUCCUCUCAAUACAGUAAGAUGCAGAGAGUGCGAGAGACUUUUCGCAAAGAUGAGAAAACAUCCCACCCCGGAAAAGAAAAGCAGAGAUACAGAUCCAGCAUCUUUAUCUUGUGAUGUGUGGGUUCUGCUUAAGAAGUGGCACCCUCAGAGACACCGUCAUCGAGAGAAGGGAUUAUUGUGGACGAGCCUGAGUCGGAUCAGGAAGCUGUUAGCAGGAGGCUCCGACUUUGCAGCUGUCAACAGAACAGAAGCAAACUGCUCCAGACCUCAUGUAUUUCAGCAGAGGAAUUUACGGCGCUGCAAGUAUCUGCUUUCCAUUCAGACCAACCGGUCCAUUACCAAAGCAAAGCCACGGCAUCGUAAGAGGUCACGAUCUGUGGUCUGGCCACCCCUCGCUGGCUGGACAUCUUCAGUGAAAAGGAAGCCUUCUUUGAACAACACAUUUUCUCAGCAGCUUUCUCCUCUCAACCUUAGUGUUAGGAUGACACAGGAGGACAAACUGUUUGUAGAUGAUAAGAUUUCAAGAUUAAAUGCAGAUUUGAAGCAGAACUCAGAUGCCUCCAGCGAACAGAGGACGACUAAUGUCCGUGGCAAACUGAACAAGCAGGAAGUGUUUGAUGGCAUAGAAGGAACGCGGCGGGUGCUGAAGUUUGAUGAAACGCCUGAAACUGUUGCUGUGGAAGCUGCGGAACAGAGGAAAAGCCCUCGGCAGAAGCACAAACGUGGAGUGAUUCGUGAAGCUCAGAAUGGUUUCCAGAAUGAGCAGCAGGAGGAGAUUUCUGAGGAUUCGGAUGGGUUCAGGACUCCCACAGAUCUGUUCAGCGUGAAGCCUAAAAUGAAAGGAGGGAACCAGAAGAAAGUCUCUGCCUCUGGUGUAACAAAACCUGCCGCUCAGAAGCCCAACUUCAUGUCCAUGUUAGCCACUCUGGUGAAGAAUCAGAAUCAGAUUAUUAAAGAGUCCUGCAAAUGA
ensembl:lncRNA